rnacentral:rRNA from 1 species
UACCAGCACCCCGAGUGGUCGGGACGUUUAUUGGGCCUAAAGCAUCCGUAGCCGGUUCUACAAGUCUUCCGUUAAAUCCAACUGCUUAACAGGUGGGCUGCGGAAGAUACUAUAGAGCUAGGAGGCGGGAGAGGCAAGCGGUACUCGAUGGGUAGGGGUAAAAUCCGUUGAUCCAUUGAAGAACACCCGUGGCGAAGGCGGCUCUCUGGGACGGUACUGACGCUGAGACGCGAAAGCGUGGGGAGCGAACAGG